rfam:Ipomoea nil DNA, scaffold: scaffold0114, cultivar: Tokyo-kokei standard.
GACUUCAUGGCCUAAUAGAAAAGGUGUUAGUCUACGAAACCAAAGAUUCUGGGUUUGCUCCCCAGUGGAGUUU